CAUUGAACGGACGCAAUAGUAGCUAGGAUGGUUACUACUAAGGAAGGCAAUGGACACCUCUGGAUGAGGCAAGGACUGAACAUCAGGAAGAUGUCAGGGACACCGCUCAGGGAACAAGUGAUGUGAGCCAACGAGGAUUGUUGGUAGACCAGGAUAGGUCAAGGACACCGCUAGGAAGGCGACGAAAGGAUUAAGCUGACGGAUUCAGCAUACUAUCAAGGAUUUGAUGCAGGGAGCACUUUAGUAGCUGGAUUGCUGCAAGUAAGACCAUAACCCCGAUGGGCGCAAGCCCUCGGGGUUUUUCUUUGC
rnacentral:other from 1 species